CGGGGUGAGUAAUGUAUGGGGAUCUGCCUGAUGGCGGGGGAUAACUACUGGAAACGGUAGCUAAUACCGCAUAAUGUCUACGGACCAAAGCGGGGGACCUCCGGGCCUCGCGCCAUCAGAUGAACCCAUAUGGGAUUAGCUUGCAGGUAAGGUAACGGCUUACCUAGGCGACGAUCCCUAGCUGGUCUGAGAGGAUGAUCAGCCACACUGGGACUGAGACACGGCCCAG
rnacentral:rRNA from 1 species